GGGANCCCCGAGUGCUCCUACUCAGUAGGAGCUGUCCAGUUGUCUAAAAAACAACCGUUAGCAAGAGCCGGGCAAGACCGGUGCCAGCCGCCGCGGUAACACCGGCGGCUCGAGUGGUGACCGUUAUUAUUGGGUCUAAAGGGUCCGUAGCUGGCUUAAUAAGUUCCUUGGGAAAUCUGGCGGCUUAACCGUCAGGCUGCCGAGGAAUACUAUUAGGCUCGAGACCGGGAGGGGCUAGAGGUACUUCAGGGGUAGGAGUGAAAUCCUGUAAUCCUUGAGAGACCACCAGUGGCGAAGGCGUCUAGCUAGAACGGGUCUGACAGUGAGGGACGAAAGCUAGGGUCGCGAACCGGAUUAGAUACCCGGGUAGUCCUAGCCGUAAACGAUGCGAGCUAUGUAUCAGUUUCACUGCGAGUGAAAUUGGUGCCGUAGAGAAGUCGUGAAGCUCGCCACCUGGGAAGUACGGCCGCAAGGCUGAAACUUAAAGGAAUUGGCGGGGGAGCACUACAAUGGGUGGAGCCUGCGGUUCAAUUGGAUUCAACGCCGGA
rnacentral:rRNA from 1 species